rnacentral:rRNA from 1 species
AUUGAACGCUGGCGGCAUGCCUUACACAUGCAAGUCGAACGGCAGCACGGGUGCUUGCCCCUGGUGGCGAGUGGCGAACGGGUGAGUAAUACAUCGGAACAUGUCCUGUAGUGGGGGAUAGCCCGGCGAAAGCCGGAUUAAUACCGCAUACGAUCUACGGAUGAAAGCGGGGGACCUUCGGGCCUCGCGCUUUGGGGUUGGCCGAUGGCUGAUUAGCUAGUUGGUGGGGUAAAGGCCUACCAAGGCGACGAUCAGUAGCUGGUCUGAGAGGGCGACCAGCCACACUGGGACUGAGACACGGCCCAGACUCCUACGGGAGGCAGCAGUGGGGAAUUUUGGACAAUGGGCGAAAGCCUGAUCCAGCAAUGCCGCGUGUGUGAAGAAGGCCUUCGGGUUGUAAAGCACUUUUGUCCGGAAAGAAAUCCUUGGCCCUAAUACGGUCGGGGGAUGACGGUACCGGAAGAAUAAGCACCGGCUAACUACGUG